rnacentral:rRNA from 1 species
GCCCUUAGAGUUUGAUCCUGGCUCAGAACGAACGCUGGCGGCACGCCUAACACAUGCAAGUCGAGCGCACCUUCGGGUGAGCGGCGGACGGGUUAGUAACGCGUGGGAACAUACCCUUCUCUAAGGAAUAGCCACUGGAAACGGUGAGUAAUACCUUAUACGCCCUUCGGGGGAAAGAUUUAUCGGAGAUGGAUUGGCCCGCGUUAGAUUAGAUAGUUGGUGGGGUAAUGGCCUACCAAGUCUACGAUCUAUAGCUGGUUUUAGAGGAUGAUCAGCAACACUGGGACUGAGACACGGCCCAGACUCCUACGGGAGGCAGCAGUGGGGAAUCUUAGACAAUGGGCGCAAGCCUGAUCUAGCGAUGCCGCGUGUGUGAUGAAGGUCUUAGGAUCGUAAAGCACUUUCACCAGGGAUGAUAAUGACAGUACCUGGAAAAGAAACCCCGGCUAACUCCGUGCCAGCAGCCGCGGUAAUAAGGGCG